AAUUCUUGAAUUUCCGAAGGAACUCAAAGUCCGCAGGUGUUAAUGGAGCUUGCAGGAGUUCCUAACCUUGAAUCAUGAUCUUUUGGGACCUGGUUCAGGCUCACUGCCUGUGGCUACUCCUAGGAUUGGAAAAUAGGCCCAUUGGUUCGUGGAAAAGGAUGUGAAUAUCUUGAAUUCUGUUUGCUCCGCAAACUUGAUAAAUUUGAGUACACUAAGUGUCAUGGCAGAGGGUACACCAGUGUGCUUGGAUCGAUGAUGAUUUUCAAUAAAACAUUGCUUGGAAAGCAGAACAAAAUGAGUAAAUCUCAAUACCGCCACUAUCAUCGUGACUGAGGUCCAGCUCCUGGGAUCACAAAUGUCACUAGGGACUCACAUGGCCUCCAUUCAUCUUGGGAGACUUUGAUCCUUUGAGAGAGCCUUCAGAAUGUUCUUUGCUUGCAGGAAAUGUGUUUCUGUCCCUGUCUGAAGCCUUCGCAUGAAUGAUAACCCUUCUGUUUCAUAAAAAAGAGAUACAUAACGGGAAGGUUACAGGCGACAUGUGGAAUGAGGCAGUAGCAAUUCUCAGGAACUACGGGAAUGUGGACUCUUCCUGUGUGAAAACAAUGCUCUGUUUUCUUGAAAGACUGAUUGUGGCCAUGGCAAUGAGGUUGGAAAGAGAGCCUUGGAAUUUAAAGUGUUGGCUUGUAUGCUUCUUGUCGGAGGAUUCAAGAAGUACAAGCUUUCAAAUGUCCCAGGAUUCAUACCACCUUCAUGGAUGCAUGGAGAACACCCAUUUUAAUCCUUGUUUCUAUGUUUAUUGUUGGGACAUUUUUUGUCAGUCUAUCCAGGUAGUUUGCCAGCAGUUCUUAUGGAUUGACUGUACCAAAGAUGGUCUGGACAUACAUCUCCUCCUCUUCUAGGACCUAAGAUUGUGAGCAUGCAAGUGUGUUUAUUAUACACAGUCCUUCUAGGAAUUUUAUAUUUUGGUAUGGGCGUACAAGAUAGGCAUGGAGCGUCUGUGGGAUUAUAUUUCCUUAUGGUUUUGAUUUGGCCUUGCUGAAGGUUAACUUGUCAUUUUCGCUAUGUGUUUUGGGGCUGAUAAGUCCUGUAAUCUUAGAUAUUUUUCUUUUAUCCAAGCAAAUUUCAACAAGAAAUUGUGUUCAAAUUGAUUAUGAAAGUGAGCUGUAUGCUUAGGAUCAUGCUGUUGAUAAUAACAGAUAUCUCAGUGACUUCAGGUUUUGCUUGUGUUUUGUGACCUGAGAGGGUUUGAAUAGACACUUUCUCUGUGGUGAUCAAUGUCAGAUACCACAGCAAUAGCACUCACAUGAAUUUAAUAGCAGUCAAAACCUCAAUAGGAGAUAUAUGUGCAUGGACAGAGAAAGAGAGAAAGAACAAUUUUUGAAGUGGCUAAGCAUGUGUGAGAGAGAGGAAGGCAGUGAGAGACAGGAAGAGACAGAGAGAGGGGGGGAGAGAUAGGGGGGUGAAGUGGACAAGAGGACACAAUGAUAUUCAAGCAGAUAUCUUGAUUGACAGAAAUAAGGAAACCAAUUAGAGAGAAUGUGAGUGAGAAACUGAGAAGCUAGAGAGUCACUGCAAGUCAAUUUCAGAGAGAAAGAGAAGAAGCGAGAUAGAGACAGAGUACUUAAGUAGUCCAUUCAUCUAAUGUGGAUGAGAAACUUAUAUGAUAUUUGUAUCGGGUCUCAUCGAAGGCAGAGUAGGAAUAAUAGGGGUAGUAUGUCAUGAUUAUGGAGGGUGCUCCGAUUGUGGCCAAAUCUAUUAAGAAUCUGGUGGUGUCCAUGGGAAGAGUAAGGCCUGAUUGUCUCUGGGAUAUCCAGCUGAACUAAGAUUUACUUAUUUUUGUAGGCACUUUCCAUUGAGCCUUGUUACUGGCCUCAUUCUAUUGUGUACCUUGUGCCAAUUUCUUUGGAUGGUUCUCAAAUGAUGUACUGUAGUUUUCGGGAUCAGAUAUUGGCUUCGUCCCAUUUUAAGAACUUUGUUGCAUGUUACCUCCAGGAAUUCGGUGAUAGAAUUGGGAAACUUAUGUCCCUAAACAGUUCCUUGGAGGAAAAAUAUCUCUGAUAUGGAUUGUGAGGGCAAAUUCCUAGAGGGCGGAAGGAGUGCUGAGAGAGCCCAAGUGUUCGAUAAAUUAUGAACUAACCACAAUGCAUCACAGUCUCCAUGAUUUGCAAGAAAUCCAAUAAAGUGGGGGAAUGUGCUAUUUGCUUUACUUUCAGGGACAGAGUCCCUGUCUCAUACCGGACAAGGACGGCUUGCAGAGGAACUGAGUAGGGAACAUCAGAUGAAGUUGGAAGAAGCCUAACAUUGCCUGCCCUGAUGUCAUCAGUUGAAGCUCUCUUGCCUGAGGAUACCUGAAGUGAAAGGUAAGAAACACUUGACUUUCCAAAGGAACUCAAAAUGCCCAGGUGUUGAUGGAGCUGGCAGGAGUUCCCAACCUUGAAUCAUGAUCCUUUGGGACGUGGUUCAGGCUCACUGCCUGUGGCUACUCCUGUGAUUGGAGAAUAGGCCCAUUGGUUCGUGGUAAAGGCUGUGAAUGUCUUGAAUUCUGUUCGCUCACCAAUCGUGAUCUAUUUUGAGUACACUAAGUGUCAUGGCAGGGGUACACCAGCGUGCUUGGAUCGAUGAUGAUUUCCAAUAAAACAUUCCUUGGAAAGCUGAACAAAAUGAGUGAAUACUCAAUACCGCCACUAUCAUCGUGAGUGAGGUCCAGACCUGGGAUCACAAAUGUCACUGAGGGACUCACAUGGCCUCCAUUCAUCUUGCCAGACUUGGAUCCAGUGAGAGAGCCUUCAGAAUGUUCUUUGCUUUCCUAAAUCACCAGCAAUAAUGGCCUAUAUCGAGUCUUAACCUUUUAUUGUAGUGAUAACAUGCUUUCCGUUUGAAGAGAUCAUUGUCAGUAUCUUGGAAGUUAUCCCUAACAACUCCAUCCAGCAAUAAUGUACACUCGGCUGUGAGGCAAAUGUAAGUUUAGCAGGGGCAUCAUAGCUCCACAAUGUACACUGGAAUGUCAGGAAAUGUGUUUCUGUCCCUGUCUGAAGCCUUCGCAUGAAUGAUAACCCUUCUGUUUCAGAAAACAGAGAUACAUAUAGGGAAGGUUACAGGCGACAUGUGGUAUGAGGCAGUAGCAAUUCUCAGGAACUAUGGGAAUGUGGACUCUUUCUGUGUGAAAACAAAGCUCUGUUUUCUUGAAAUACUGAUUGUGGCCAUGGCAAUUAGGUUGGAAAGAGAGGCUUGGAGUAUAAAGGCUUGGCAUGUAACCUUCUUGUCGGUGGCUUCUAGAAGUGCAGGCUUUCAAAUGUCCCAGGAUUCAUACCACCUUCAUGGAUGUAUGGAGAACACCCAUUUUAAUCCUAGUUUCUAUGUUUAUUGUUGUGACAUUUUUUGUCAGUCUAUCCAGGUAAUUUGCGAGCAGUUCUUAUGGAUUGACUGUACCAAAGAUGGUCUAGACCUACAUCUCCUCCUCUUCUAGCAUCUACGAAUGUGAGCAUGCAAGUUUGUUUCUUACACACAGUCCUUCUAGGAAUUUUAUAUUUUGGUAAUGCUGUAGAAUAUAGGCAUGGAGUGUCGGUGGGAUUAUCUUUGCUUAUGAUUUUGAUGUGGCCUUGCUGAAGGUUAACUUGGCAUUUUGGCUAUGUGUUUUGGGGCUGAUGGUAGUCCUGUUAUCUUAGGCAUUGUUCUUUUCUCCAAGCAAAUAUCAACAAGAAAUUGUGUUUCCAAUUGAUUAUGAAAGUGAGCAGUAUACUUAGGAUCAUGCUGUUGAUAAUAACAUAUAUUUCAGUGACUACAGGUUAUGAUUGUUUUUGGUGAGAUGAGAGGUUUUGAACAGACACUUUCUCUGUGGUGAUCAAUGUCAGAUACCACAGCAAUAGCACUCACAUGAAUUUAGUACCAGUCAAAACUUGAAUAGGAGAUAUAUGAGCAUGGACAGAGAAAGAGAGGAAGAACAAUUUUUGAAGAGGCUAAGCAUGUGUGAGAGAGAGGAAGACAGUGAGAGAUAGAAAGAGACAGAGAGAGAGACAGAGAGAGAGUUAAAGAGAGAGAGAGAGAGAGAGAGAGAGAGAGAGAGAGAGAGAGGUGGGAGAGAGAGGGGGGUUGAAGUGGAAAGGAGGACACUGUGACAUUAAAGCAGAUAUCUUGAUUGACAAAAUAAGGAAACCAAAUAGAGAAAAUAUGUGAGUGAGAAACUGAGAAGCUAGGAGAGUCACUGCAAGUCAAUUUCAGAGAGAAAGAGAAGAAGCGAGUUAGAGAAAUAGUACUUAAGUAGUCCAUUCAUCUAAUGUGGAUGAGAAUCUUACAUGAUAUUUGAAUUGGUUCUCAUAGAAGGCAGAGCAGGACUAAUAGGUGUAGUAUGUCAUGAUUAUGGAGGGUGCUCCGAAUGUGGCCAAAGCUGUUAAGAUUCUAGUGGUUACCAUGGGAAGAGUAAGGCCUGAUUGUGUCUGGCAUAUCCAGCUGAACUAAGAUUUACUUAUUUGUGUAGGCAACUUCCAUUCAGCCAUGUUAGUGGUCUCAUUCUUUUGUGUACCUCGUGCAAAUUUCUUUGGAUGGUUCUCAAGUGAUGUAUAUACUACUGUAGUUUUCGGGAUCAGACAUUGGCUUCGUCCCAUUUUAAGAACUUUGUUGCAUGGUAACAUCCAGGAAUUCGGUGAUAGAAUUGGGAAACUCAUGUCCCCAAACAGUACCUUGGUGGAAAAAUAUCUCUGAUAUGGAUUGUGAGGGCAAAUUUGUAGAGGACGGAAGGAGUGCUGACAGAGCCCAAGUGUUCGAUAAAUUAUGAACUAACCACAAUGCAUUACAGUCUCCAUGAUUUGCAAGGAAUCCAAUAAAGUGGGGGAAUGUGCUAUUUGCUUUACUUUCAGGGACAGAGUCCCUGUCUCAUAACGGACAAGGACGGCUUGCAGAGGAACUGAGUAUGGAACAUCAGAUGAAGUUGGAAGAAGCCUAACAUUGCCUGCCCUGAAGUCCUCAGUUGAGCUCUCUUGCCUGAGGAUACCUGAAGUGAAAGGGACAGAGUCCCUGUCUCAUACCGUACAAGGAUGGCUUGCAGAGGAACUGAGUAGGGAACAUCACAUGAGUUGGAAGAAGCCUAACAUUGCCUGCCCUGAAGUCAUCAGUUGAAGCUCUCUUGCCAGCGGAUACCUGAAGUGAAAGGGACAGAGUCCCUGUCUCAUACUGGACAAGGACGGCUUGCAGAGGAACUGAGUAUGGAACAUCAGAUGAAGUUGGAAGAAGCCUAUCAUUGCCUGCCUUGAUGUCAUCAGUUGAAGCUCUCUUGCCUGAGGAUACCUGAAGUGAAAGUUUCAGGGGCAGAGUCUCUGUCUCAUACUGGACAAGGACGGCUUGCAGAGGAACUGAGUAUGGAACAUCAGAUGAAGUUGGAAGAAUCCUAACAUUGCCAGCCCUGAAGUCAUCAGCUGAAGCUCUCUUUCCUGAGGAUACCUGAAGUGAAAGGACAGAGUCCCUGUCUCAUACAGGACAAGGACGGCUUGCAGAGGAACUGAGUAUGGAACAUCAGAUGAAGUUGGAAGAAGCCUAACAUCGCCUGCCCUGAUGUCAUCAGUUGUAGCUCUCAUGCCUCAGGAUACCUGAAGUGAAAGGGACAGAGUCCCUGUCUCAUACUGGACAAGGACGGCUUGCAGAGGAACUGAGUAUGGAACAUCAGAUGAAGUUGGAAGAAGCCUACCAUCGCCUGCCCUGAUGUCAUCAGUUGAAGCUCUCUUGCCUGAGGAUACCUGAAGUGAAAGAGUCACUGUCUAAUAUCGGACAAGGACGAAUGGCAGAGGAACUGAGUAUGGAACAUCAGAUGAAGUUGGAAGAAGCCUACCAUCGCCUGCCCUGAUGUCAUCAGUUGAAGCUCUCUUGCCUGAGGAUACCUGAAGUGAAAGGUAAGAAACACUUGACUUUCCAAAGGAACUCACAGUGCUCAGGUGUUGAUGGAUCUCGCAGGAGUUCCCAACCUUGAAUCAUUUAAACCUUUGUGACCUGAUUCAGGCUCACUGCCUGUGGCUACUCCUGUGAUUGGAGAAUAAGCCCAUUGGUUCUUGGGAAAGGAUGUGAAUGUCUUGAAUUCUGUUCGCUCACCAAACCUGAUCUAUUUUGAGUAUACAAAGUGUCAUGGCAGGGGGUACACCAGCGUGCUUGGAUCGAUGAUGAUUUCCAAUAAAACAUUCCUUGGAAAGCUGAACAGAAUGAGUGAAAACUCAAUACCGCCACUAUCAUCGUGACUGAGGUCCAGCACCUGGGAUCACAAAUAUCACUGAGGGACUCACAUGGCGUCCAUUCAUCUUGCGAGCCUUGGAUCCAGUGAGAGAGCCUUCAGAAGGUUAUUUGCUUGCCUAAAUCACCAGAAAUCAUGGCCUAAAUCAAGGCUACACCUUUUGCUCUAAUGAUAACAUGCUUUCUGGUUGAGGAGAUCAUUGUCAGUAUCUUGGAAGUUAGCCCUACCAACUCCAUGAUCAAUAAUGUAUAGUAGGUUGUGAGGCAAAUGUAAGUUUAGCGGGGGCAGCAUAGUUCAACAAUGUACACUGGAAUGUCAGGAAAUGUGUUUCUGUCCCCGUCUGAAGCCUUCGCAUGAAUGAUAACCCUUCUGUUUCAUAAAACAGAGAUACAUAACGGGAAGGUUACAGGCGACAUGUGGAAUGAGGCAGUAGCAAUUCUCAGGAACUAUGGGAAUGUGGACUCUUCCUGUGUGAAAACAAAGCUCUGUUUUCUUGAAAGACUGAUUGUGGCCAUGGCAAUUAUGUGAGAAAGAGAGCCUUGGAAUUUAAAAAGUUGGCAUGUAGCCUUCUUGUCGGUGGAUUCUAGAAGUGCAUGCUUUCAAAUGUCCCAGGAUUAAUACCACCUUCAUGGAUGUAUGGAGAACACCCAUUUCAAUCCUAGUUUCUAUGUUUAUUGUUGGGACAUUUUUUGUCAGUCUAUCCGGGUAGGGUUUGAACAGACACUUUCUCUGUGUUGAUCAUUGUCACAUACCACAGCAAUAGCACUCACAGGAAUUUAGUACCAGUCAAAUCCUGAAUAGGAGAUAUAUGAGCAUAAACAGAGAAAGAGAGAAAGAACAAUUGUUGAAGAGUCUAAGCAUUUGUGAGACAGAGUAAGACAGUGAGACACAGAAAGAGAGUGAGAGGGGGGGAGAGACGGGGGGUUAAGUGGAAAAGAGGACACUGUGAUAUUAAUGCAGAUAUCUUGAUUGAGAGAAAUAAGGAAACCAAAUAGAGAGAAUGUGAGUGAGAAACUGAGAAGCUAGGAGAGUCACUGCAAGUCAAUUUCAGAGAGAAAGUGAAGAAGCGAGAUUGAGUAGAGUACAUAAGAAAUCCAUUCAUCUAAUGUGGAUGAGAAUCUCAUAUGAUAUUUGCAUCGGUUCUCAUCGAAGGCAGAGUAGGACUAAUAGGUGUAGUAUGUUAUGAUUAUGGAGGGUGCUCCGAUUGUGGCCAAAGCUAUUAAGAUUCUGGUGGUUUCCAUGGGAAGAGUAAGGCCUGAUUUUCUCUGUCAUAUCCGGCUGAACUGAGAUUUACUUAUUUUUGUAGACAACAUCCUUAAAGCCAUGUUCGUGGUCUCAUUCUGUUGUGUACCUCGUGCCAAUUUCUUUGGAUGGUUCUCAAGUGAUGUACAUACUACAGUAGUUUUCGGGAUCAGAUAUUGGCUUUGUCCCAUCUUAAGAACUUUGUUGCAUGGAUACCUCCAGGAAUUCGGUGAUAGAAUUGGAAAAAUUAUGUCACCAAACAGUUCCUUGGAGGAAAAAUAUCUCUGAUAUGGAUUGUGAGGGCAAAUUUCUAGAGGACGGAAGGAGUGCUGAGAGAGCCCAAGUGUUCGAUAAAUUAAGAACUAACAACAAUGCAUCACAGUCUCCAUGAUUUGCAAGGAAUCCAAUAAAGUGGGGGAAUGUGCUAUUUGCUUUACUUUCAGGGACAGAGUCCCUGUCUCAUACCGGACAAGGACGGCUUGCAGAGGAACUGAGUAUGGAACAUCAGAUGAAGUUGGAAGAAGCCUAACAUCGCCUGCCCUGAAGUCCUCAGUUGAAGCUCUCUUGCUUGAGUAUACCUGAAGUGAAAGGGACAGAGUCCCUGUCUCAUACUGGACAAGGACGGCUUGCAGAGGAACUGAGUAUGGAACAUCAGAUGAAGUUGGAAGAAGCCUACCAUCGCCUGCCCUGAUGUCAUCAGUUGAAGCUCUCUUGCCUGAGGAUACCUGAAGUGAAAG